AUUGAUACUGAUCUAAAUUUUUUAGCUAGGUCCUACCUUCUGGAAAGCUAGCGUGUCCUUAAUUGGGUGCGUUUAGUGAUCCAGGACUUUUACUUUGAAAAAAUUAGAGUGUUUAAAGCAGGCUUUCAAGCUUGAAUACAUUAGCAUGGAAUAAUAGAACAGGACCUCAGUUCUGUUUCUGUUGGUUUCUCGGAACCGAGGUAAUGAUUAAUAGGGACAGUUGGGGGCAUUAGUACUGCAGUGUCAGAGGUGAAAUUCUUGGAUUUCUGCAAGACUAACUUAUGCGAAAGCAUUUGUCAAGGAUGUUUUCAUUAAUCAAGAACGAAAGUUAGGGGAUCGAAGACGAUUAGAUACCGUCGUAGUCUUAACCAUAAACUAUGCCGACUAGGGAUCGGACGGUGUUAUAUUUUUGACCCGUUCGGCACCUUACGAGAAAUCAUAAGUUUUUGGGUUCCGGGGGGAGUAUGGUCGCAAGGCUGAAACUUAAAGGAAUUGACGGAAGGGCACCACCAGGAGUGGAGCCUGCGGCUUAAUUUGACUCAACACGGGGAAACUCACCAGGUCCAGACACAUUAAGGAUUGACAGAUUGAGAGCUCUUUCUUGAUCAUGUGGGUGGUGGUGCAUGGGCCGUUCUUAGUUGGUGGAGUGAUUUGUCUGCUUAAUUGCGAUAACGAACGAGACCUUAACCUGCUAAAUAGCCCAGCCCGCUUCUGCGGGUUGCUGGCUUCUUAGAGGGACUAUCGG
rnacentral:rRNA from 1 species